rnacentral:rRNA from 1 species
GAUGAACGCUGGCGGCGUGCCUAAUACAUGCCAGUCGAGCGGACGGACGAGAAGCUUGCUUCUCUGAUGUUAGCGGCGGACGGGUGAGUAACACGUGGAUAACCUACCUAUAAGACUGGGAUAACUUCGGGAAACCGGAGCUAAUACCGGAUAAUAUUUUGAACCGCAUGGUUCAAAAGUGAAAGACGGUCUUGCGGUAACUUAUAGAUGGAUCCGCGCUGCAUUAGCUAGUUGGUAAGGUAACGGCUUACCAAGGCAACGAUGCAUAGCCGACCUGAGAGGGUGAUCGGCCACACUGGAACUGAGACACGGUCCAGACUCCUACGGGAGGCAGCAGUAGGGAAUCUUCCGCAAUGGGCGAAAGCCUGACGGAGCAACGCCGCGUGAGUGAUGAAGGUCUUCGGAUCGUAAAACUCUGUUAUUAGGGAAGAACAUAUGUGUAAGUAACUGUGCACAUCUUGACGGUACCUAAUCAGAAAGCCACGGCUAACUACGUG